rnacentral:rRNA from 1 species
GGGUUGUGAGGUUAAGCGACUAAGCGUACACGGUGGAUGCCCUGGCAGUCAGAGGCGAUGAAGGACGUGCUAAUCUGCGAUAAGCGUCGGUAAGGUGAUAUGAACCGUUAUAACCGGCGAUUUCCGAAUGGGGAAACCCAGUGUGAUUCGUCACACUAUCAUUAACUGAAUCCAUAGGUUAAUGAGGCGAACCGGGGGAACUGAAACAUCUAAGUACCCCGAGGAAAAGAAAUCAACCGAGAUUCCCCCAGUAGCGGCGAGCGAACGGGGAGCAGCCCAGAGCCUGAAUCAGUGUGUGUGUUAGUGGAAGCGUCUGGAAAGGCGCGCGAUACAGGGUGACAGCCCCGUACACAAAAAUGCACAUGCUGUGAGCUCGAUGAGUAGGGCGGGACACGUGGUAUCCUGUCUGAAUAUGGGGGGACCAUCCUCCAAGGCUAAAUACUCCUGACUGACCGAUAGUGAACCAGUACCGUGAGGGAAAGGCGAAAAGAACCCCGGCGAGGGGAGUGAAAAAGAACCUGAAACCGUGUACGUACAAGCAGUGGGAGCACGCUUAGGCGUGUGACUGCGUACCUUUUGUAUAAUGGGUCAGCGACUUAUAUUCUGUAGCAAGGUUAACCGAAUAGGGGAGCCGAAGGGAAACCGAGUCUUAACUGGGCGUUAAGUUGCAGGGUAUAGACCCGAAACCCGGUGAUCUAGCCAUGGGCAGGUUGAAGGUUGGGUAACACUAACUGGAGGACCGAACCGACUAAUGUUGAAAAAUUAGCGGAUGACUUGUGGCUGGGGGUGAAAGGCCAAUCAAACCGGGAGAUAGCUGGUUCUCCCCGAAAGCUAUUUAGGUAGCGCCUCGUGAAUUCAUCUCCGGGGGUAGAGCACUGUUUCGGCAAGGGGGUCAUCCCGACUUACCAACCCGAUGCAAACUGCGAAUACCGGAGAAUGUUAUCACGGGAGACACACGGCGGGUGCUAACGUCCGUCGUGAAGAGGGAAACAACCCAGACCGCCAGCUAAGGUCCCAAAGUCAUGGUUAAGUGGGAAACGAUGUGGGAAGGCCCAGACAGCCAGGAUGUUGGCUUAGAAGCAGCCAUCAUUUAAAGAAAGCGUAAUAGCUCACUGGUCGAGUCGGCCUGCGCGGAAGAUGUAACGGGGCUAAACCAUGCACCGAAGCUGCGGCAGCGACGCUGAUGCGUUGUUGGGUAGGGGAGCGUUCUGUAAGCCUGUGAAGGUGUACUGUGAGGUAUGCUGGAGGUAUCAGAAGUGCGAAUGCUGACAUAAGUAACGAUAAAGCGGGUGAAAAGCCCGCUCGCCGGAAGACCAAGGGUUCCUGUCCAACGUUAAUCGGGGCAGGGUGAGUCGACCCCUAAGGCGAGGCCGAAAGGCGUAGUCGAUGGGAAACAGGUUAAUAUUCCUGUACUUGGUGUUACUGCGAAGGGGGGACGGAGAAGGCUAUGUUGGCCGGGCGACGGUUGUCCCGGUUUAAGCGUGUAGGCUGGUUUUCCAGGCAAAUCCGGAAAAUCAAGGCUGAGGCGUGAUGACGAGGCACUACGGUGCUGAAGCAACAAAUGCCCUGCUUCCAGGAAAAGCCUCUAAGCAUCAGGUAACAUCAAAUCGUACCCCAAACCGACACAGGUGGUCAGGUAGAGAAUACCAAGGCGCUUGAGAGAACUCGGGUGAAGGAACUAGGCAAAAUGGUGCCGUAACUUCGGGAGAAGGCACGCUGAUAUGUAGGUGAAGUCCCUCGCGGAUGGAGCUGAAAUCAGUCGAAGAUACCAGCUGGCUGCAACUGUUUAUUAAAAACACAGCACUGUGCAAACACGAAAGUGGACGUAUACGGUGUGACGCCUGCCCGGUGCCGGAAGGUUAAUUGAUGGGGUUAGCGCAAGCGAAGCUCUUGAUCGAAGCCCCGGUAAACGGCGGCCGUAACUAUAACGGUCCUAAGGUAGCGAAAUUCCUUGUCGGGUAAGUUCCGACCUGCACGAAUGGCGUAAUGAUGGCCAGGCUGUCUCCACCCGAGACUCAGUGAAAUUGAACUCGCUGUGAAGAUGCNAGCGCAAGCGAAGCUCUUGAUCGAAGCCCCGGUAAACGGCGGCCGUAACUAUAACGGUCCUAAGGUAGCGAAAUUCCUUGUCGGGUAAGUUCCGACCUGCACGAAUGGCGUAAUGAUGGCCAGGCUGUCUCCACCCGAGACUCAGUGAAAUUGAACUCGCUGUGAAGAUGCAGUGUACCCGCGGCAAGACGGAAAGACCCCGUGAACCUUUACUAUAGCUUGACACUGAACAUUGAGCCUUGAUGUGUAGGAUAGGUGGGAGGCUUUGAAGUGUGGACGCCAGUCUGCAUGGAGCCGACCUUGAAAUACCACCCUUUAAUGUUUGAUGUUCUAACGUUGACCCGUAAUCCGGGUUGCGGACAGUGUCUGGUGGGUAGUUUGACUGGGGCGGUCUCCUCCUAAAGAGUAACGGAGGAGCACGAAGGUUGGCUAAUCCUGGUCGGACAUCAGGAGGUUAGUGCAAUGGCAUAAGCCAGCUUGACUGCGAGCGUGACGGCGCGAGCAGGUGCGAAAGCAGGUCAUAGUGAUCCGGUGGUUCUGAAUGGAAGGGCCAUCGCUCAACGGAUAAAAGGUACUCCGGGGAUAACAGGCUGAUACCGCCCAAGAGUUCAUAUCGACGGCGGUGUUUGGCACCUCGAUGUCGGCUCAUCACAUCCUGGGGCUGAAGUAGGUCCCAAGGGUAUGGCUGUUCGCCAUUUAAAGUGGUACGCGAGCUGGGUUUAGAACGUCGUGAGACAGUUCGGUCCCUAUCUGCCGUGGGCGCUGGAGAACUGAGGGGGGCUGCUCCUAGUACGAGAGGACCGGAGUGGACGCAUCACUGGUGUUCGGGUUGUCAUGCCAAUGGCACUGCCCGGUAGCUAAAUGCGGAAGAGAUAAGUGCUGAAAGCAUCUAAGCACGAAACUUGCCCCGAGAUGAGUUCUCCCUGACUCCUUGAGAGUCCUGAAGGAACGUUGAAGACGACGACGUUGAUAGGCCGGGUGUGUAAGCGCAGCGAUGCGUUGAGCUAACCGGUACUAAUGAACCGUGAGGCUUAACCUUACAACGCCGAAGGUGUUU